CAUCGUCGGAAGGAUCAAAACUACGUGCAUAGGACGCUCGAGCACUGCAGCUCGUCUCUAGCCUCAACACAAGCACGAGCCCAUGCAAGAAAUGUAUCAUCGACCGGAUCCAAACUCCUCGCAACAGGGAGUGCGCAUAAGCUUCCGCGACACGAGCUCAGGCAAUACAAUUGAAUGACAUGCCCUCGCAGUGCAACAUCUGCCUAAUAACACGCCCAAGCUCGGAGAUCAUCU
rnacentral:lncRNA from 1 species